rnacentral:rRNA from 1 species
GACGAACGCUGGCGGCGUGCUUAACACAUGCAAGUCGAGCGGUAAGGCCCUUUCGGGGGUACACGAGCGGCGAACGGGUGAGUAACACGUGGGUGACCUGCCCUCAGCUCUGGGAUAAGCCUGGGAAACCGGGUCUAAUACUGGAUAUGACUCCAUGACGCAUGUUGUGGGGUGGAAAGCCUUGUGCGGCUGAGGAUGGGCCCGCGGCCUAUCAGCUUGUUGGUGGGGNGAUGGCCUACCAAGGCGACGACGGGUAGCCGGCCUGAGAGGGCGACCGGCCACACUGGGACUGAGACACGGGCCCAGACUCCUACGGGAGGCAGCAGUGGGGAAUCUUGCGCAAUGGGCGAAAGCCUGACGC